rnacentral:rRNA from 1 species
UACAGAGGUCUCAAGCGUUGUUCGGAUUCAUUGGGCGUAAAGGGUGCGUAGGCGGCGGGGUAAGUCUGAUGUGAAAUUCCAGGGCUCAACCUUGGGACUGCAUUGGAUACUGCCUUGCUAGAGAACUGGAGAGGAGACUGGAAUUUACGGUGUAGCAGUGAAAUGCGUAGAGAUCGGAAGGAACACCAGUGGCGAAGGCGGCUACCUGGACAAAUACUGACGCUGAGGCGCGAGAGCGUGGGGGAGCGAACCGG